rnacentral:tRNA from 1 species
AGCUAAGUUGGCAGAUAAAGUGCAAGUAAUUUAGGGUUACGAGAUAAGAAUCAAACUUACUUAGCUU